CAGAGGCGAUGAAAGACGUAGUAACUUGCGAUAAGCCCAGAUUAGGUAGUAACAACCAUUUGAGUCUGGGAUUUCUGAAUGGGGAAACCCACUUACAUAAGUAAGUAUCGUUAUGUGAAUACAUAGCAUAACGAGGCGAACCGGGGGAACUGAAACAUCUAAGUACCCCGAGGAAAAGAAAUCAACCGAGAUUCCGAAAGUAGCGGCGAGCGAAAUUGGA
rnacentral:rRNA from 1 species